CAUUGAUGAAAAGAAUAUAUGUGGAAAACUCUGUGCGUCAAUGUAUUUUCGGCUAAGUAUAGUUUGUUGAAUGGAGUGGUUAUAUUUAGUAGAAUGGGAUAGUCCUUCACAGUGCCGCGAAACAUGUUUUGCACCCCUAUUGUGAUAUCUUAUAUUUAGUGUGUUGAUCGGGAUUUCCUUGAAGGAGAUACCUUGGGUAGCCAAAAGAAUCUUCUUUUUGAGCAUGUAUUCAAUCAGUGCUGGUUGAAUGUUUGUACAAAGUUUCUCUCCCCUG
rnacentral:lncRNA from 1 species